rnacentral:rRNA from 1 species
CCUACGGGAGGCUGCAGUGAGGAAUAUUGGUCAAUGGACGAGAGUCUGAACCAGCCAAGUAGCGUGAAGGAUGACUGCCCUAUGGGUUGUAAACUUCUUUUAUAUGGGAAUAAAAUGUUCCACGUGUGGGAUUUUGUAUGUACCAUAUGAAUAAGGAUCGGCUAACUCCGUGCCAGCAGCCGCGGUAAUACGGAGGAUACGAGCGUUAUCCGGAUUUAUUGGGUUUAAAGGGAGCGUAGGUGGAUUGUUAAGUCAGUUGUGAAAGUUUGCGGCUCAACCGUAAAAUUGCAGUUGAAACUGGCAGUCUUGAGUAUAGUAGAGGUGGGCGGAAUUCGUGGUGUAGCGGUGAAAUGCGUAGAUAUCACGAAGAACUCCGAUUGCGAAGGCAGUUCACUGGACUGCAACUGACACUGAGGCUCGAAAGUGUGGGUAUCAAACAGGAUUAGAUACCCUUGUAGUC